CGUAACACGUGAGCAACCUUCCGAAAUAUGGGGGAUAGCCGGCCUAACGGCCGAGUAAUACCGCAUACGCUCUCGAUGAGGCAUUUCAUUGAGAGGAAACCUCCGGGGUAUUUCGAGGGGCUCGCGGCCUAUCAGCUAGUUGGCGAGGUAACGGCUCACCAAGGCAACGACGGGUAGCUGGUCUGAGAGGAUGGCCAGCCACAUUGGAACUGAGAUACGGCCCAG
rnacentral:rRNA from 1 species